rnacentral:misc_RNA from 1 species
GGAAUAUCCUCCGCAAGCGACGCCGAUUCUCUGAUCGUCAAUGCCGGUGUUACUGUUAGAACGAAGAGCAACUGCCUCCUGUUGGUGAAAGAUGCCAGUAAUGAUUUGGGACCGUGCGCAUUGCGCGCACCGCGGAGCAAGAGAGAUUGGAGAAUAGGUGGAGAUAUUGUGGAAGCCAUUGGUUUGGCUCUACAGCCGGAGGAUUAUCCAUAUUUGAAAGACUACAGAAUAUGUGGGUGUGGGUGCGUUGUAUUUGCCGAUGGGCAAUACGGUCAUUUAGACGAUAAAGGAAAACGCUGUCGUUUUUGCGUUGUACGUUUUCCAUAGGAUUUCCCUCGUUUUAUCCAAAAUUUUCCGCCAGAAAAAUAGAAUAGACAACCGUUUCCCUCUCACAUUUCCGGUGUUCAUUUUCCAAAAUCCAGACCUAAACAGUGGCGGAAGACGAAGUGUGGUAUCGAAAUCAUCAUUGACAAUGACCGAACAAACCGUCGCUGAGGCUCCAAUCGCCUUGGAAACCCAGAACUCGAACGAGGCCACCAUCGAAUCGAACGUCCAGGGAGGCACUGAGUCCACUUGCAAUAACAUCAGCAAC